AUGGCUGAGGCUAUAGUCACUGGCCUCAUGGAGGCUCUAGUUACUGGCCUCUUGGAAAAGUCGGGUUCACUUAUUGCUGACGGGGCAUGGCCAGAGCUGAAGUCGUUCCUGUUUUUAGACAAAGAAGUCCAAAAGCUUGAGAGCACUCUUGGUGACAUCCAGGCAGUGCUCGAGGAUGCUGAGAAAAGACAAGUGGAAAAAAAAAAAAAAAAAAAAACAAACAAACAAAUUAGAAACACAACCAAAAGGUUAUAGACCAAAAACAUAAUUUACUCUAAAUUUUUUAAAAUAUAGUUUAUGUUACUUAUUAGAGGGCAUUGUGUGUUUUUAUAAAUUGAAAACGUAAUUUUAACUCACGUAACAAACUAUGUGAAAAAGCUAUUAGGUAACAGAGUGGAUGCCAUAUAGGUGAGUAGUCAAUUGGAAUAUUGGUUAGGACCGUUAGGUAACAAAACUCUGAAUAUAAAUGCUAAAGACUAGGACAACAGAAGCCGGUGGGAAAGCCAUUCUAUUUAUUAAAGUGGAUGCCACAAUGCUGAGUGUCUAUAGGAAUGUUGGUUAGGACCGUUAGAUGAGUAAUCUAUUGGACUGUUGGUUAGGACCAGAAAGUAACAAAACCCUGAAUAUAAAUGCUGAAAAGAGGACAACGGAUACACAAGCAAACCUCUGCAUUGCUAGCUAUUUCAUUUGCUCCUUUUGUCUAUCAAUUUCCAUUUCCACUUCUUGUUUCUUGUUUUUUUCAAUCUCCAAGCAUGGCUGAGGCUAUAGUCACUGGCCUCAUGGAGGCUCUAGUUACUGGCCUCUUGGAAAAGUCGGGUUCACUUAUUGCUGACGGGGCAUGGCCAGAGCUGAAGUCGUUCCUGUUUUUAGACAAAGAAGUCCAAAAGCUUGAGAGCACUCUUGGUGACAUCCAGGCAGUGCUCGAGGAUGCUGAGAAAAGACAAGUGGAGGCAGCUGUGAAACGUUGGUUAGAUAAGCUCAAAGAAGCAGCCUAUGACAUAGACAAUGUACUGGAUGAGCUGGAAACUGCAAUGAUCAAAUCCAAGAUUCAGGAGGAAGAAGAAGAAGCUGAAACUACCACAGCAACUGCUAAGGUAUGGUCCUGCAUCUCCUGUCUUUCUGGGCUUUUCGUUAAACUUAAGGAGCUUGUUCAUCGUCGUGGCAUUGCUCACAAGAUUAAAAAACUGAAUGAAAAAUUAGAUGAGAUUGCCAAAGGGAGAGUUGCGUAUGGGUUUCAGCUUGGGUCGAUUAGCAAUGAAGUAGUUGAGCGACCGAGAACUACUUCCUUUGUUGAUGUGUCUCAUAUUAUAGGCCGUAAAGAUCAUAGGGAUGAUCUAGUGAGCAACCUGUUGGGCAAGGGUCGUGAAAUUAAAAGAAAUCCUUAUGUCAUCUCAAUAGUAGGCAUGGGUGGUAUUGGGAAAACCACCCUUGCCCAACUAGCCUACAAUGAUCCUGAGGUGCAGACACAUUUUGAAAAAACAAUGUGGGUUUGUGUUUCCCAUCCUUUCAACCCAUACCGGGUUGCCAAAGCAAUCAUUGAAGCAAUAGAAAAAAAAGGAGGUGGUUCCAAUAACUUCAAUGAAUUGGAAGGGCUACAUUCAAAAAUUAGGGAAUUGAUUGAGGGCAAGAAGUUCUUACUUGUCUUAGAUGACAUGUGGACUGAAAAUUUUAUUAAUGAUUGGGAGCCAUUGAGCCUUGCACUAAAAAAUGGAGCCCAAGGUAGUAGCAUUCUAGUCACCGCACGUAAUGUGAGAGUCGCGAGUACGGUACACAGUGACCAAACCAUUAGAUUAGAAUUAUUAUCUAUGGAAGAUUGCUUGUCAAUGUUCAAUAAAAUAGCAUUUGCUGAUAAAAAUGAAAAUCAAUGUAAGCAAUUGACAGACCUUGCUGAAAAACUAGCUAAUAAGUGUAAAGGUUUGCCACUUGCUGCAAAGAUUCUAGGAAGUCUCAUGCAAAACAAGACAACUAGACAAGAAUGGGAGGAUAUUUUGGAGAAUAAUUUGUGGAACUUAGAAAAUGUUCAAGAAGGUAUUUUAGGACCCUUAUUAUUGAGUUAUAAUGAACAACCAUCAGCAAUAAAAUCUUGUUUCUUAUAUUGUGCUCUCUUCCCAAAGGAUUGUCGGUUUUAUAGAAAUGAGUUGAUCUACUUAUGGAUGGCACAAGGGUAUCUUGGCAUAAAACCAAAUAUAGAGAUGGAAAUUGUAGGAGAAAAGUAUUUUGAAAGAUUAGUCAUGCACUCUUUCUUCCAAGAUUUUGAGAGAGAUAAAGAUAAUGAUAAGAUAAUAAGCUGCAAAAUGCAUGAUAUAGUACACGACUUUGCUCAAUCAAGGACAAAUAAUGAAUAUGUCACAAUUGAUGGGGACAAAGAGUUGGGGACAAAUUGUAAAAGUGCUCACCAUUUGAGAUUUAAAUUAAUGGAGAAAACACAGUUUCCUAUGUCUAUGUAUAAUGCAAAAAAUGUACGCACUCUCUUUUUCACUUUACCGCGGCAGGCGGCUAUCUUCCCACUCGAUUUAUCUAAGCAUUUGACAUGCCUACGGGUAUUGACUUUGAAAGAUACUAAUGUUAAGAAACUUCCAAAUGAAGUGGAAAAAUUUAUACAUUUAAGAUUGCUCGAUCUAUCAAACAAUGAUAAAAUUGAAGAAUUACCUGAAACAAUGUGUAAUUUAUGAAAUUUACAAACUUUGGAUAUUAGAUACUGUAGCAGAAUUACAAAAUUACCCCAAGGAAUGGGUAAACUAAUUAAAUUAAGACAUCUUCUUAUUAACUAUUAUCGUAGAUCGACCGAAUUCUUUCCAAAAGGGAUUGGAAGAUUGAGUUCUCUUAGAACAUUGGAGAAAUUCAUAAUAGGUGGUAUAGAUGAUAGUAAAGGAUGUAAACUUGGAGAAUUGAAGAAUCUGAACCACCUUAAAGGGUAUCUUACGAUAGAAGGCUUGAAAAACGUAACAGAUGUACAAGAGGCUGAGAAUGCACGGCUUAAUAAGAAAAAUCUCCGUGAGUUAGAGCUUUCGUUUGGCCGGGAAGAUGAGGAGAUUGAAAGUGUAAGGAAUGAUGAAAUCGUUCUUAAAGCCUUAGAGCCACAUCCAAACUUGGAAAUUUUAAAGAUUGAUGACUGCAUGGGUAGAGUGUAUCCUAAUUGGAUGAAGUCUUUGUCCCAUUUGAAAAGGCUUGAGCUUUUCAAGUGGCCCAAUUUAGAGCAAUUGCCUCCUCUGGGGAAGCUGGAGUUCCUCGAAACAUUAAAUUUAAGGGGUGCGAAGAGUGUGAAAAAGGUGGGUGUUGAAUUUUUGGGAAUAGAAGAAGCCAAUGGGAAGAACGGAUCAACAUCAUCACUUGUCUUAUUCCCUAAUUUAAAGUCUCUCCAAUUUUUGAGUAUGAAAGAGUGGGAAGAAUGGGAUGGGAUGGGAGAAAGGAGAGAAGAAGAAGGAGAAAGUGGUGAUUCUGUUUUAACAAGUAUAAUGCCACGUCUUCAGAUUUUGGAUAUUUUCCAGAGCCCAAAGCUAAAGGCACUGCCCAACUUCCUCGAGAAAACUUCGUUAAAGGAAUUGAGGGUCGAUUGUGGAAUUUCCAAUUGGAUGACGUUGGCAUACAAUUUACCCGGAUUGAAAGCACUUUAUCUCUAUUUGAAUAACGACGUAGAGCAUUUGCCCCCUUUGGGGAAGCUGCUGUUCCUCGAAUCAUUAAAGAUAUGGGGGCAUGCCCAUAGAGUGAAAAAGGUGGGCGUUGAAUUUUUGGGAAUAGAAGAAGAAUCCAACAACAACAACAACAACAACAAGAUAGACGACGAGAAGGGAUCGACAUCAUCAUUUUCUUCUUCUUCACUUGUCUUAUUCCCUAAUUUAAAGUCUCUUCAAUUUUCGGAUAUGAAAGAGUGGGAAGAAUGGGAUGGGAUUGGAGGAACAAUGAGAGAAGAAGAAGCACAAGAAAGUGGUGUUACUAUCACUAUUAUGCCACGUCUUCAGUAUUUGUCAAUUCAGUCUUGCCCCAAGCUGAAGUCGCUGCCAGACUUCCUUCCUACAACUCCAUUGAAGCAUCUGGAGAUCAAUUGGAGUCGAAUUCUCCAUGAAUGUUGCAAAACAGAGAUAGGAGAUCAAUGGCCCAAGAUUUCUCACAUACCCAACAUCAGCAUUCAUUAUAGAUCUGUGCGAAGAGAUGGUCGUCCAAUGCAAAAUUAAAUCUCAGUUCGAUUGGGGGCGCUGCAAGUCCCAUCCAUUCAGUUAAGGUAACUUCUUUCACUUUGUCUUCUUCGUAUCUUUCUUUCUUUCUUUUUCCACAAAAAAUAAACAAUAUUCGUAGAUAAAUUUGUCAGAUUUGUGACCUAAAUCUGACAAAUAGUUCAAUUUCGCUGCCAGACUUCCUUCCUACAGCUACAUUGA
rnacentral:sRNA from 1 species